ACGCACGCUGGCGGCGUGCUUAACACAUGCAAGUCGAACGGAAAGGCCCUGCUUUUGUGGGGUGCUCGAGUGGCGAACGGGUGAGUAACACGUGAGUAACCUGCCCUUGACUUUGGGAUAACUUCAGGAAACUGGGGCUAAUACCGGAUAGGAGCUCCUGCUGCAUGGUGGGGGUUGGAAAGUUUCGGCGGUUGGGGAUGGACUCGCGGCUUAUCAGCUUGUUGGUGGGGUAGUGGCUUACCAAGGCUUUGACGGGUAGCCGGCCUGAGAGGGUGACCGGCCACAUUGGGACUGAGAUACGGCCCAGACUCCUACGGGAGGCAGCAGUGGGGAAUAUUGCACAAUGGGCGGAAGCCUGAUGCAGCAACGCCGCGUGCGGGAUGACGGCCUUCGGGUUGUAAACCGCUUUCGCCUGUGACGAAGCGUGAGUGACGGUAAUGGGUAAAGGAGCACCGGCUAACUAC
rnacentral:rRNA from 1 species